rnacentral:tRNA from 6 species
GUGGGUAUGGCGAAGUUGGUUAUCGCGCCAGAUUGUGGCUCUGGAGGCCGAGGGUUCGAAUCCCUCUACUCACCCUA